GAUUGCCAGUGCCUGAGGAGACCCUGCUGCUCUGAGGGUUUUGCUUUAUUGCUCAUUAGGGGCCAAGAAGCUGCAGCUGAGCUGGAGUCAGCUCUUGGCUUUCCUGUGCUCUGGAGCCCCAAGCUCGACUCCUCUUCCAUGCUGUUCAGCUGGAACCUGGUGGGAAGGAAAUUGCUGCUUUUGGGAAAUUUAUUCUGUACUCAGCAACUCUUGUCUUGUCCUUUCUCUUCUACUCUGCCCCAAAAGUGAAGCCUGAAAGGUCUGCAUGGACUGUCCUGAAAUGCCAACUGGCUGUCAAUGUCAUCCAUCAAGGGUCGAGCAAGGACUCACUGUGACAGACACCCUGCCUUGGAGAGAACCUGGGCUGGCUGUACUGAUCCCAGAGUGGUGCAACCUGGCACAGCAGCAAAAUGCAUCCAUGUCAAUGCUCCUGAUAGCAGCAGUCAAAGGAACACAGGCUGGGAACUCAUGGCUCUGUCCCUGCCUCUGGGUGACCGUAGGGAAAUUCUUUAUUGCCUCUCUGCUUCAGAGUCCUCUCCCUUACCUAGAGAAGAAAUCCAGUGUACCCCCAGCUGGGUAGUUGCAACAAAGAUAGAGCAGCACAUCGCUUGGGGCCUGUGAUUUAAAACUGGAUUUUCUUAUUCUGUACUAAUUUCACUGACUAUCACAAAUCUCUAUUUUUUUCAGUCAUGCAUUUAAAAAUCAGAAUAAGCAGACUGGGGCUGGAAGGAUUAAUAUGUUUCCUUUGAUACUAGAAUUCUAGUAUUUUGGACUGUGCACUGCAUUUCUUUUCUCCAAGACUGCAUAUAAAAUGCUAUUUGCUGACUUCUCAUCUAUAUAAUUAAAGCUAGCUCUAUUAUCAGAAGGAUUCUUAUGAGGCUUAGCUGCUCUCC
rnacentral:lncRNA from 1 species